CAAACAUCAAAUUCCUCUUCCUCUGAGAAUGUCGCCUGUGCCAGCUGGCACGAAGAUGUGACGUUGUAUAAAUACUCCACCAUUGCACUAGCUGGGACUUUGGGCCUCGUGGUGCUGGUUGCUUUGUAUUUGAAAAUCAAAGAUUUCAUCUUCUCCCCUCACCUAACAGACCAGAAGGCACGAGAGAAUGUCCGAUAUGAAGCUUUAGACCAGUCAAGAAGA